rnacentral:lncRNA from 1 species
GAUGGGCAGAUCACUUAAGGUCAGGAGUUCAAGACCAGCCUGGCCAAAAUGGUGAAACCCCGUCUCUACUAAAAAUACACAAAUUAGCUUGGCGUGGUGGCAGGUACCAGUAAUCCCAGCUACUCUGGAGGCUGAGGCAGGAGAAUGUGAGAGGUGGAGGUUGCAGUGAGCUGAGAUCAUGCCAUUGCACUCAAGCCUGCGUAACACAGCAAGACUCCAUCUCAAAAAAAAAAAAAAAAAAAGAACAAUGAUAUGCUAUAGUCUGUUGCUCUGCUGUAUGAUAGUAAAAAUUAAAGAGGAUUGAAACAAACUAAUACAAUUCAGACUUUUUUUUGCUUUUUCAACUUUUAUUUAUGAAUUGGGAGGUACAUGUGCAGGUUUGUUUCAAAGGGAUACUGUGUGAUGCUGAGGUCUAGAUGAGUGAACCUUUUUGAAAACUUAACAAACUUCCAAAUCAUGAUACCUCUUGUCUCUUUUAAGCGCUAGCCCUUUAUUAUACAACAGAUUUGGAACAAGAUCUAGAUUUUGAGUGCUUAUUGGUUAAAGGAGGCUAUACUCAUACUAUACUUAGUCUCCUUUAAUCAAACAUUUUAUCACUUGUAGCUUAGUUGAUUAUGAUAAUUUUACAAAUCAGGGAAUUAGUUAAUGACAUUACUGAUCCAUACAGGAGGCAUACAGUCAUAUAAUCAAGUUCACAUAAAUAUCUUUUCCUCCUUUUCAAAAUACUUGGUAAUGAGAUAUAUAACAGCCUAGUAGACACCAUAAUAAAAUUAAAUGUUUGACAGAAGUGACUUGCUCCAUAUUCAAUUGGAUUUUACUUAAAGAGAUCCUUUCAUGAUUUUUAAUCAUUGUCAUUGUGGCCUAGGAAGGAUGUGUGGUUAAAAAAAAAAUCACAAGAGGGCAGAGUUUGGUGGCUCACAGUUGUAAUCCUAGUACCUUCGGAGGCCAAGGUGGGAGGAUUACUCGAGGAGACCAGCCUAGGCAACAUAAUGAGACCCUUCCGUCUCUACAAAAAAAUUAAAAAUUAGGGAGAGAGAUCCAAGAUGGCUGAUUACUAGCAGCUCAGGAUUGUAGCUCCCAGUGAAAGCACAGAGAACGAGAGGAUGCCACACUUUCAGAUGAAUUUUUGUUGUUCACAGACCAGGAGAUUCCCAGUGGAGGAGCCCCAAGGAUCACCAGCGUGACUCUUGUGGCUGGUGCAGCGGUUUUGCCGGCACCUCGGCUCGG